UCUCUCUCUCUCAUGUGAAUGUUCAAACCCAGGAAGAGCCUCAGUAAUGGUUCGCAGCUCCUGAAGGCUCGAAGUUCUUUCUUUAACGGUGAAACAAGCGAGAUAUUUCCAAGUACACACAUCACUGUGUGCAACAGGGGGGAAAAUAGGAAAGGGAGUUUUCAUCAAGUCCAAAAGCUAUCGGUUGAGGAGGGACACGGAUGUAAUUCAGGAUAACAUUUGAGGGCAGGCAAGGGAACAGGACAGUGGCAGUGGUUGCUUGCGCAAAUCUAGCUAAUCUGGGCCUUCUGGGGCAAGCGAAAAUUGUUCGAGUUUACAGCCAAAAAUCAAAUCACAGUCCAUAUCAAAGAAAACCCCCCUUCCCUCAGCAAACACACACCCACCCAUUUUCCAUCUUCCAUUUUCGCUCUCACUCAACUCACUUUAGGCCUCAUUAAUAUGGUGUGAGAAGAAGAGUAGUACAGUCACAGAAAUGGUCUCUUCCUGUGCGCACAUGAAGCCAAAGUAAUCUCACGUCCUCCACUUCUUGUAACCCAGCACACAACCUCCCUCUCUUAUCAUUUUCCAACAGCCCUUUUCCAUUUCUUUUCAAGAUAGGACGAGAAGACCCGACUUCGUACUCCUAGGAAACGAGAAAUUCUUGAGAGAAGAAAGAAACGUUGCAAGAACUGAAGACCCAUGUUUCCCUCUUCCAUGAUUUGUGUUCUUUCUGACAAACACGCAAUCACCCAAACCCGGUCUGUUUUAUCUUGUUUUCUGGGGGUGACACUGCUUAAAAAUCCCAACUUUUGCCUCAAUUGAUGAGUGUACACAUGCUGCUGCUGCGACUGUGGAAGCGACGGCGGCGGCGAGGGUGGUGGAGCGUGGGGAGUGCAUCUGGUGGUGGUGGUGCUGCCGCUGAGUGGCAAGCUCAAGAAUGGCAUUGCUCUUUUUGCUUAUGUGAGGAAUGGCAAAUUUGUGCUCUUUUGCAAGGUUCAACUCUUGCCACUUGCUUGUCUCUGUUCUCCUGCUUGUUUAGCUUCUAACAGUGGUGGUGGUGGUGGUGGUGAUGGUGGUGGUGGUGGUGAUAUUGGCGGGACGGCUCAAUCUUGUAUUUCUUAGCUUCCAAUUUGCUCUAAUCUUUGUUGCUUUUCUUCUUUGUUAGCUAAUUGUGAAUUCAUAUGAAAGGCUCUGCAAAAUGCUCAAGUUGGUCUCCCUCUCUCUCUCUCUCUCUCUCUCUCUCUCUCUCUCUCUCUCUCUCUCAGUUUUUCUUCUUCUUUGUUAGUGCCCAACUUUGUGCUUCUUCUUCUUCUCAUGUUUCUUGGAAAAACCCCAUUUCUGGAGAAAGCGAACCCAGAAGUGUUUUUACAUUUUUUCUUCCCUGCCAACAAAACGCCAGAAAUUAAGAGGAAGAUGAAGCAGUGAAUAAAAGCCAAAAUAGAUUUUUUUGGGGGUCUUAAAACACUGUUUUAUUACCUUGUUAAUUCAAACUUUUGUCAGGCUGUCCACUAAAAUGCUUGUUGUGUUUUCUCGGGGGAUGUGCAUGUUGGUUGGUUGUGUUGUGCUAAUGCGCUCUCGCUCUCUCUCUCUUCAAAUGUAAAUUUGCGAAAUUUGAUGUCAUCUUUUAUAUGUUUUGUUUCUAGGAAAGAGUACAGUUUGUCCUUGGAAUUUUCCUCUUGCUUUUUUGAGAAUGUGGGAAGACUUUGUUUUUUCCUAAUGGACAUGUUUCGCCCUUCUCUUAA